rnacentral:rRNA from 1 species
UACGGAGGGUGCAAGCGUUAAUCGGAAUUACUGGGCGUAAAGCGCACGCAGGUGGCUGAGAAAGUCGAUUGUGAAAGCCCUGGGCUUAACCCGGGAAUUGCAGUCGAAACUACUCGGCUAGAGUAUGGGAGAGGACAGUGGAAUUCCCGGUGUAGCGGUGAAAUGCGUAGAUAUCGGGAGGAACAUCAGUGGCGAAGGCGGCUGUCUGGCCCAAUACUGACACUCAGGUGCGACAGCGUGGGGAGCAAACAGG